CAAUAGUCGUAGUGACCUGCGGAGGAUCAUUACCGAGUGUAGGGUUCCUAGCGAGCCCAACCUCCCACCCGUGUUUACUGUACCUUAGUUGCUUCGGCGGGCCCGCCAUUCAUGGCCGCCGGGGGCUCUCAGCCCCGGGCCCGCGCCCGCCGGAGACACCACGAACUCUGUCUGAUCUAGUGAAGUCUGAGUUGAUUGUAUCGCAAUCAGUUAAAACUUUCAACAAUGGAUCUCUUGGUUCCGGCAUCGAUGAAGAACGCAGCGAAAUGCGAUAACUAGUGUGAAUUGCAGAAUUCCGUGAAUCAUCGAGUCUUUGAACGCACAUUGCGCCCCCUGGUAUUCCGGGGGGCAUGCCUGUCCGAGCGUCAUUGCUGCCCAUCAAGCACGGCUUGUGUGUUGGGUCGUCGUCCCCUCUCCGGGGGGGACGGGCCCCAAAGGCAGCGGCGGCACCGCGUCCGAUCCUCGAGCGUAUGGGGCUUUGUCACCCGCUCUGUAGGCCCGGCCGGCGCUUGCCGAACGCAAAUCAAUCUUUUCCAGGUUGACCUCGGAUCAGGUAGGGAUACCCGCUGAACUUAAGCAUAUCAAA
rnacentral:rRNA from 1 species